AACAGGAUUAGAUACCCGGGUAGUCCACGCCCUAAACGAUGUCAACUAGGUGUUGGGUGGGUAAAACCAUUUAGUACCGGAGCUAACGCGUGAAGUUGACCGCCUGGGGAGUACGGCCGCAAGGUUAAAACUCAAAGGAAUUGACGGGGACCCGCACAAGCGGUGGAUGAUGUGGAUUAAUUCGAUGCAACGCGAAAAACCUUACCUACCCUUGACAUGUCCAGAAGCUCUUAGAGAUUUGAGUGUGCCCGAAAGGGAACUGGAACACAGGUGCUGCAUGGCUGUCGUCAGCUCGUGUCGUGAGAUGUUGGGUUAAGUCCCGCAACGAGCGCAACCCUUGUCGUUAAUUGCCAUCAUUUAGUUGGGCACUUUAACGAGACUGCCGGUGACAAACCGGAGGAAGGUGGGGAUGACGUCAAGUCCUCAUGGCCCUUAUGGGUAGGGCUUCACACGUCAUACAAUGGUCGGUACAAAGGGUUGCCAACCCGCGAGGGGGAGCUAAUCCCAGAAAGCCGAUCGUAGUCCGGAUCGUAGGCUGCAACUCGCCUGCGUGAAGUCGGAAUCGCUAGUAAUCGUGGAUCAGCAUGUCACGGUGAAUACGUUCCCGGGUCUUGUACACACCGCCCGUCACACCAUGGGAGCGGGUUCCGCCAGAAGUAGGUAGCCUAACCGCAAGGAGGGCGCUUACCACGGCGGGGUUCGUGACUGGGGUGAAGUCGUAACAAGGUAACC
rnacentral:rRNA from 1 species